GCGCCGGUGGUGUAAGGCGAACAUCGCUGCCCGGAAAAGAUGCGGGUUCGAGUCCCGCCUGGCGUA
rnacentral:tRNA from 1 species